CUCCUGCCUCAAUUUGGGCUCUUCCUGCCAGGAUUUCUAUACCCAUGCCUGCCCUUCCCUGCAGUGCUUUCUCCCUCCCUUCACUACCCUUAUUUCGCUCUCUCAAUCUCCAUAUCUGUUUCUGGGUUUCCCCUUCUUCUCUCCCUGCUUUUCCCCUCCCUGUCCAUCCCUCACCGGCCCCAGAAUGGGUGUCCCUCCCCUCCUCCCUCCCUGGCUGUAUCUGCCUCUUUCUUAGCUCUCAACCCUGCACCUCUUUCUUUGUAUUCUGCUCACCCUCUCUCGGCCUCUCGAGCAUCUCUCCUCCCCCGCCGGCCUCCGGCCUCCCCCUGCCUCCCCAUUUCCAGCUCAGUCUCCUCCCUCUAGCUCCUCUCCCCUCCUUUCGCCUCACCCGACUGCCCGCCCGGCAAGCCAGGGUUUCUUUCUACCCUGGGGGGUCUCCAUACCUCUCGAUCCUCCUCCCCACCAGUCUCCUCUCCGGCUGCAGGGUUAGUGGGUACCCAUUCUUUUCUUCCUGGGCACACCCUCCCUCCCCUCGCCCCCAUCCCCAACGUGGCCCCUGACUCCUCUUCAUCCGUCUCCUCUUCUCCCCACCCUCUCUUCUCUUUUCUCUCUGCCCCUUUAAAUCUCCCUGGCCCAGCCUCCCCCGUGAUGCUGGGAUGGAGCAAACAUUGAGUUGUGCUGGGAUGGAAUCGGAAUUUUGAUUUCUUUUUUCUUCUCCCAACCCUAAGAAGAAAAAAAUAAUAAAAACACCCCCCUCUUGAUAGCCCCCUCCCCCUUCUCAUCCAGCUCCCAGCUUCUCUUCCCUAUCUCCACCCAAGGCAGAUUUUUUCCCCUACACUGUUCUCUUCUCCCCCCACCCCCGGCACCAAUUCACCCCCAGCUGGGGAGAGAGGGGACUCUCCCACAGCUCCCCCGCCUUGUCUUCCCUCUCUGGGUUGGAGCGGUCUCUCCGGAAGAGGAGGGGGCUCGGCUCGCCUGGGUGGGAGUGGAGGUAUCCUGCCAUGGACGCUGUGCCUGGGAGGCACCCUGCGCCUCAGCCCACAUGGUGAGUACCUGCCCCCUCCUUUCCGCCCGUCUGCC
rnacentral:lncRNA from 1 species